ACCACUUUGUGAUUCAUGACUGGGGUGAAGUCGUAACAAGGUAACCGUAGGGGAACCUGCGGUUGGAUCACCUCCUUACCUUAAAGAGGC
rnacentral:rRNA from 2 species